ensembl:lncRNA
CAACCUUAUGGUAAGGCAGGAGUUAAUGGCCCUGUGUGCAGGGAACUCCAUGUGCUGUAGUGCAGUCUGGUCUGUCCAGUACAGAGAUACAGAGUCUUUCUGUCACUGAAUGUGUCUGAAUAGGCUGAUUUGGGGAAAAGGACGUCCUGUAAGAGGGGCCGACACCUAUAAAGAAGCCUAGCGGGAGGUAAGAAUGAGCUGGCCGGACGAGGCGGAGAAAGGUGUUAGAGAGAGAGGAGAGAGGUUUGGCCUUCACACUGUCUUUCUGCUAUACGGCUCUCCAAGUGGAAGAAUUGGGCAAGCUACAUUAAGUCUUGAGUCCAGGCCAAAGGAACAGCUGUGGGCUUACCGUCUGGCUGCUCCCUCUGUCACAGAUCCAUCCUGCACGUCACGUGACCCAACAACUCGGUGUUCACCCUCAGGGGCUGCGCUAUAUGAUCACUUAUUCAUUCCAGCCUCAGAUCCAGUCAUAUGAGCUGCAUCAGACAUGUAUUAUAUGAACUUAUGACUUUGAAAGUGUUUGUGAUUGAAACCAUGUCAGGAUUAUUAAUAUGUGGUGGUCUUAACAAUGAAUUGUCCUAAAAACAAAGUUAUCUUAGCAUAGAUGGCGUUACAUGGGUAAACAUCAGUAAAAACAUGUCGAGGUCACAUUAUCCCACAAUCAAAAGAAAGUAAUAAGAAAUACUGGGAUUUUAAUAUUUUGCUAAUAAAAAAAGCAAAAAGGAACUCUAAUUUUAGAGU